rnacentral:rRNA from 1 species
AUUGAACGCUGGCGGCAGGCCUAACACAUGCAAGUCGAACGGUAACAGGAAGCAGCUUGCUGAUUUGCUGACGAGUGGCGGACGGGUGAGUAAUGUCUGGGAAACUGCCUGAUGGAGGGGGAUAACUACUGGAAACGGUAGCUAAUACCGCAUAACGUCGCAAGACCAAAGAGGGGGACCUUCGGGCCUCUUGCCAUCGGAGGUGCCCAGAUGGGAUUAGCUAGUAGGUGGGGUAACGGCUCACCUAGGCGACGAUCCCUAGCUGGUCUGAGAGGAUGACCAGCCACACUGGAACUGAGACACGGUCCAGACUCCUACGGGAGGCAGCAGUGGGGAAUAUUGCACAAUGGGCGCAAGCCUGAUGCAGCCAUGCCGCGUGUAUGAAGAAGGCCUUCGGGUUGUAAAGUACUUUCAGCGGGGAGGAAGGGAGUAAAGUUAAUACCUUUGCUCAUUGACGUUACCCGCAGAAGAAGCACCGGCUAACUCCGUG